GCGUGCCUAAUACAUGCAAGUCGAACGAACUCUGGUAUUGAUUGGUGCUUGCAUCAUGAUUUACAUUUGAGUGAGUGGCGAACUGGUGAGUAACACGUGGGAAACCUGCCCAGAAGCGGGGGAUAACACCUGGAAACAGAUGCUAAUACCGCAUAACAACUUGGACCGCAUGGUCCGAGUUUGAAAGAUGGCUUCGGCUAUCACUUUUGGAUGGUCCCGCGGCGUAUUAGCUAGAUGGUGGGGUAACGGCUCACCAUGGCAAUGAUACGUAGCCGACCUGAGAGGGUAAUCGGCCACAUUGGGACUGAGACACGGCCCAAACUCCUACGGGAGGCAGCAGUAGGGAAUCUUCCACAAUGGACGAAAGUCUGAUGGAGCAACGCCGCGUGAGUGAAGAAGGGUUUCGGCUCGUAAAACUCUGUUGUUAAAGAAGAACAUAUCUGAGAGUAACUGUUCAGGUAUUGACGGUAUUUAACCAGAAAGCCACGGCUAACUACGUGCCAGCAGCCGCGGUAAUACGUAGGUGGCAAGCGUUGUCCGGAUUUAUUGGGCGUAAAGCGAGCGCAGGCGGUUUUUUAAGUCUGAUGUGAAAGCCUUCGGCUCAACCGAAGAAGUGCAUCGGAAACUGGGAAACUUGAGUGCAGAAGAGGACAGUGGAACUCCAUGUGUAGCGGUGAAAUGCGUAGAUAUAUGGAAGAACACCAGUGGCGAAGGCGGCUGUCUGGUCUGUAACUGACGCUGAGGCUCGAAAGUAUGGGUAGCAAACAGGAUUAGAUACCCUGGUAGUCCAUACCGUAAACGAUGAAUGCUAAGUGUUGGAGGGUUUCCGCCCUUCAGUGCUGCAGCUAACGCAUUAAGCAUUCCGCCUGGGGAGUACGGCCGCAAGGCUGAAACUCAAAGGAAUUGACGGGGGCCCGCACAAGCGGUGGAGCAGGUGGUUUAAUUCG
rnacentral:rRNA from 2 species